CUAUGAUCCGAAUGGAGCGCUUGUUGUGGAUUCACCUCUUUCUAGGUCUGAUGAUUCUGUUUGCUGGAACGAAUGGGUGGAUAGAGAUGGAGGUGGACUUGGGGGGAAAUGUAACAAUCCCCUGUUCUCUUAAACUGAACGAAAGUGUUGUCUGGUAUAAACAACAUGAGGCUAAGUCUCCUAUGUUCUUACUACACUUUCUGCAUGAUAAAUUUCCAUUUUACAUCAAUAACAGUUUCAAGAAGAAAUACUUUUUACUACAAGAUGAAGGAUUGUUGAUACAGAACGUCACAAUGGAGGAUUAUGUGGUUUAUUACUGUGGUAAGAAAUAUGGUAUCAGAAUGAAGUUCGACAACGCCACCAGGCUUGUUAGUGUGAGACAUCCUAAGACCACAGAUGAUCUAUCUGAACCUAAGAACAGGAGUGCAUGUUCAGAGAUUUCUAUUGGAAAGCUCUACUCAAUUCCGAAUCUGCUAAUAUUUACUGCUGUCAUAAACGGAAUUUUACUAUUACUCUGUAAGUUAAGUUGGAUUUUCAAUGGUAUUUUGUAUAUUUCUGUUUUUCUACCCUUACAUUUGUUAUUCAAAUACGCUUAUACAUAUACUUGCUGGGGCAGAAUAUGAUCAUGAUCAUUGUACACUAAGGCAGCGUAUGUGUUCCUUCUCCUCAAGUGGUUGUGGGUAGUUGUUGGAUUUCCGGCCUGUGUAGGAGAGCCUCCACCCAGGGUGCUGGUCCUCCUCCACUUCCUGGUCCUCCUCCACCUCCUGGUCCUCCUCCACCUCCUGGUCCUCCUCCACCUCCUGGUCCUCCUCCACCUCCUGGUCCUCCUCAACCAGACCAUGAGCCACAGUACGAGGCGAUACAGCUGUCACCGCCAGAAAGGACACAGCAGACCCGUUUUAUUUAUUCUAAAGUACAAUUUCCUGGCAUCUCACGAACGCAGCCCUAUGCAACGCCAGAUGACACUUAUACACUGGCUGAUCUCCCAUCUACAUAGGUUCAUCAAGUCUGCCUAAUCCUAACCCUGACCAGGGAGUCAGAUCUAACUAGAAACUAAUCUAAUUAUUUAUUUCCGAGUGUAAUUCUCAACCAAGACAAGGUUGGGCAUUAUCGUCUAAACACUCUAGUUUUAUUUUAUUUUUUGUUGUAUUCCACAUCUAUUCCAUUGUCAUAUAGAAGUGAUAUAGAAGUGAUUUCAGUCAAUCAACUUUAACUCUUGUGUUAUCUUCGGGUCAUUCUGACCCAUCAGUCAUUGUGACCCACCACCGUAUUGCGACAAAUUUACCUCAUACAAAAACAAAGUGAAGCAUUUUCUUUUAACCGUUGGGCUGUCUCAGACCCCCCACAUUGCAAAGGUAAAAAGAAAAUUAUUGUUAUUUGUUUUUGUAUUGGGUAAAAUUGGGUAAACACAACGAUGGUUCGUUAUGAACCUUUGGGUCAUGAGACACGAAGGCAGCACAAGGGUUAAAACAGCCCAAGAACAUCUUGACACCCUAAAUAACAACCUAGAAACAAACUUGCAUUCAAGUCAUAUACAUUGCUCAUCUGCAGAAAGGUGUAACUCAAGACUCACCACCUAACUUCCCUUAUGAGAUAAAAUCUAAAUAAACAUGAAUUUCUGUAACUUAUUCAGGGUAUGAAUAACACUUUAUGACACUGUUGUUCAUUUACUUUGGCUAUAUGAUAGAUUUCCAGAAUGAGAACUUGAUUUGCUAGGCUGUGUCCAGCCCUGUCUUUAAUCACACUCUAUUUUUGUCUUGAGACUGUGGCUGCCAAGGAUUUCUUAACCAUUUCCUGUCACCACCCUUCCCACCAUCCACUCCUUCGACAUAUUGUGACCUUUCACAUGUCCAACCACCAAUUUUAAUUCCAACGAAUUACUUUUCAAAUGAUUUUUGAAUUACCAGUGUUAAAAAACACAAUUUAUCUUUAGUCAUGUAGUAUUUUUUUAUGUUCAUUAUCUGUCAUGUGAGGAAACGGAUAUGAAACAUUUUACUAUGAUGUUGAACAAGUGUCAAAAAAGGGUGUAUCGUAAAGCGUUGCUGUAGCCUAUAUUUAAAGUCAACAUUACUUUUGUCCUGAACUUCAACAUUGGAUAUCAGCGUGGGUUAUGCAUCAAGGCUUGUGUGUGGUUUCUGUCUUUUCGCUGUUAUGUGGUUGUGUGGUGGUUUUUUGAAGCACUGUGAAC